AUCAUAUUUGUUCAUAAUGUGACUAUAGUUAAAUAUUUUUUCCUCAUUAUGAAAUCACAAAAUUAAAAUAAAAAUUAAGCAUGGUAUUUGUUUAAGUGAGAAAUCUGUUUUAGCCCAAUUAUAUUUGUCCACGAGGUACCUGGUUGAUUUACCCAAGCUGCUUUGUUAUUUCAUAUUCUGCUUUUUGCAUGUCUGGAACCAUAAAUUACUAACACAGAGGUUAUAUUCUGUAUUGUGGCAUACAUGUAGCUACUCUGAGGCUAGAUUUUCUUGUGAUUUUCCAUUUUGUUGAGUUUUGCUUUCUCUGUCUCUUGCUUGCCAUUCAGACAACUGUGUUGGAAGUUGACAUUAAGAGUAGAAGCCCUGAGAGAGGAAAGUGUUCAGUGCAUUAAAACUCAUCGACUAUGCUGUGGAAACUGCUCCAGCAUUCUUUAUAUUCUAAAGGGGAGAGGAUGAGAAUCAGAGUUUGUUCAAAGAUGCUGCCACCCUCAAUGACCCAUGUAUCUCCUGUGAUGAGGAUUGGUGACGUAUCAUCCACUGAAUAGCACAAAUUGUCUUGAUUACUAACCUGGGAAAGGCUGAUGCUAACUCAAAGUGACCGAUAUCUUAAAUAGAAGCAAGAGCUGAAGAAUUACAAGCAGCGGUGUCUCUUUACCAUGAUUAACUGAAGCUGAAGUCUCAGUGUCAGGAGAUUUUGAGACUUGAGGAGAGUUUGAGGACAUGGAAGCAAUCAUUCACAUGGUUGUGUUGAAAUGAUUGAAGUUGGAACAAAAUCUAAGGGACUACUACAGGUGUGAUUAGUGGAAGGCAGAAAGUAGAAAAACAAGAAGAGGCAAUUCCUUUGCAUCUGAGGCCAGGAAUGCCCAUGAUGCAAGACAGUAAAGGGGAGACCCAUGGUACUCUGAUGCUUUCUACCCUGAAGAUAUCAAUUUCAGAUGUGGGUACAGAAAUAUCUCUUUAAAGCUUUUCUUUUGGAGGCUAGGUUAGUGAAUCUUUUAAUCCCAACUGGUAUUUGUCUCCUCUUUUAAGUUUCCAAUAAAAUUAUUGGCUAUCUUGUGUUCA